AAAUGCAAAUAUACACUCUACAAAUCAUGACACCUCCAGCUUAGGUGCAUGCAAAGUGAGACAGGGGUUUUACUUUAUUUUACAUUCUUUGGAGGUCGCGUUCUGUGCACCCGCGAAUGGCUGAUCGACAUGUUGAUCAAGCCAACAUUAACGUGCGUUUGAGCGUCAAUGUGGUCUAGUCCGGUCGAGUACCCAAGCAAAACCCCCAUUUUGGUUUUCUUUGAAUUCCUUCUUCCUUUCAUACAACAACCCUUGUCCAUCGACGGCAACAAAGCUCCGGCAGCAAUACAUCCUUCGACAAAAGGGGUGGGGUGUUAAACCUCAUUGUUCAAAGUUCUUCYAUGAUUUCCCUUGGAGAGCUCCUUCCACCGAACCCUACCCAUACACCGAAUCCUUCCAAGAUCGGUGACGACAAAGAGAACCCCUAUUCUUCUUCUCCUCUUCAUUCUUCCUCUUCUCUUUCCCUGGAGAGCUCCGGCGGUGACAAGAAGAGCACAACAUCCAUCUGAAAGGAGGACCGGCGACCACAGCAUCCUUGGAAGGAGGACCAACGAUCACAAGGAACAGGUCUGAUCUAAAGGAUGAACAGCAAAGUAACAGUUCAUGUGAAGAAUGAUAUAUCGCCGCUGGAGCUCUGUCGCCAUCGGUUCACGGCCGGCACUCCGUCGCCACCAAUGAGUAAGGGUUUCUCUGUUGUAUGGGUAGGGUUCGGUGGAGAGAAAAGGACGAAAGAACUGAAAGAGUCGAAAAACAGAAAAAAAAAAUGGGCUUUUUUAUUGAACACUCGACUGAUUCAUGUUCAUGCGAACAGGUUCACUUCCUCAUGAACCAGAUCAGAUCGCGUUAACGCACGUUUGAAUGUUAACAUUAGCCUGAUCAACGUAUCGAUACGCUAUUCAUGUGUGCAUUGGACGAGUGUACCCACGGGUGCACAGAACGCACUCUAACAAUGAUGUACAACAUGGGUGUUUCCGUCGUCGGAAGAAGGGCAUGAAUUUACUUCAUUAAAAUCGAAGUAAUUUUUUCACCUCAAGAUUGAAGCAAACUCUGACAAGUUUGCAAUGGUGAUCUGAUUGGGGAGAUGGUAAAGUGUUGUUACGUUGUUGAGUUUUAGGUUGUUCAAUAUAAAUUUGUAUGAGAGAUUUUUUUUUUGUUA